GUCUACAGCCAUACAACCCUGAGCGCCCCCAAUCUUGUAAGCUAAGCAGGGCCGGGCCUGGUUAGUACUGGGAUGGGAGAAGAAGGAUAAGAGGUUAUAGCUU
rnacentral:rRNA from 1 species